CGUGUCGUGAGAUGUUGGGUUAAGUCCCGCAACGAGCGCAACCCUUAUCUUCAGUUACUAACGCGUAAAGGUGAGGACUCUGAAGAGACUGCCGGGGACAACUCGGAGGAAGGUGGGGACGACGUCAAAUCAUCAUGCCCCUUAUGACCUGGGCUACACACGUGCUACAAUGGCCACGACAGAGAGAAGCGAAAUCGCAAGGUAGAGCGGAACUCAAAAAAGUGGUCCCAGUUCGGAUUGUGGGCUGCAACCCGCCCACAUGAAGUCGGAGUUGCUAGUAAUCGCGGAUCAGCAUGCCGCGGUGAAUACGUUCCCGGGCCUUCUACACACCGCCCGUCACACCAUGGGAGUUGGGAGUGCCCAAAGCCGGUGAGGCAACCGCAAGGAGCCAGCCGUCUAAGGCAAGACCAAUGACUGGGGU
rnacentral:rRNA from 1 species